AAUACAUCUUAACCAGCUAAUUACCAGCUUUAGUAUGUGUGUUUAAGCAGGUAAAUCUGCAAACUGUGUUGUAUGGCCCUCCAGGACUGGAAAUGGACAACCCUGCCUUAAAGAUUGUCAAGAUCCUGUGAAAGAAAUAUUUAAGCACGUUUUGCGAACAGGCCGUAAUUCAUAGGAUUUCAUCACACGCCCGAGGAAUCAAAGGAACUCCAACAGCCCUGUUGACAUACUCAGGUGGAAAGUCAACAUGAGAUCUUCGAUCUUAAGCUUUGAAGCUACAAGCCUGAUUUAUUCAGGUCCAUCAAGAAAGGUGUUCCGGGAUCAAAAGUCAAUAGAGAAUAAUCAACUGGGACGAUGGCCCCAAAAUGUCGACAUUUGAUAAAUGAAGUCAACGAGAAAAUAUCUCCCUGGUGUAUAAAUCAUCUUUGCGGCCUGUCUGUGAGUUCGCAAAGCCAGCUUCCACAUAUUCUGUGUCCACCGGACUGUCCAGUUAACAGCUGCUAUGACUGGAACAAGGACCGUCGUUCUGCUGUGAAAGAAUCAAUGUAAAUUCUUCAGAUUACGAUGAUUAAAAUCUGUUGGCAUUGAGUUACAUAA